UUUAUUGAUACAUAAAAUUAUAUAUAUUUUUUGAAACAGACCAGAUUAGCUAGGCCCUUUGCACAAGGAUGCCAUGCACAUUUGUGAUGUGUUCUGUAUUUUU